UACGUAGGGGGCUAGCGUUGUCCGGAAUCAUUGGGCGUAAAGAGCGUGUAGGCGGCCCGGUAAGUCCGCUGUAAAAGUCAAAGGCUCAACCUUUGAAUGUCAGUGGAUACUGCCGGGCUAGAGUCCGGAAGAGGCGAGUGGAACUCCUGGUGUAGCGGUGGAAUGCGCAGAUAUCAGGAAGAACACCAACGGCGAAGGCAGCUCGCUGGGACGGUACUGACGCUGAGACGCGAAAAGCGUGGGGGAGCGAACAGG
rnacentral:rRNA from 1 species